GCCGAAGUGGCGGAAUUGGCAGACGCGCCAGGUUCAGGACCUGGUUCCCGUUUAGGGAGUGGAGGUUCGAGUCCUCUCUUCGGCA
rnacentral:tRNA from 1 species